rnacentral:rRNA from 1 species
AUCGCCUCCCGAAUUUACCCAAUAUGGGAGGUCCCGCCUGCCCUGUGAUAAUAAUUUAACGGCCGCGGUAUUUUGACCGUGCAAAGGUAGCGCAAUCACUUGUCUUUUAAAUGAAGACCUGUAUGAAUGGCAUAACGAGGGCUUGACUGUCUCCCCCCUUCAGUCAAUGAAAUUGAUCCCCCCGUGCAGAAGCGGGGAUAAAUACAUAAGACGAGAAGACCCUGUGGAGCUUUAGACAAUUGAUGGUACCUGUAAAGAAAGUGAUAUCAAUAUUUCAUCAGAAACAAAAGGUACUUCCAUUCAAACGUCUUUGGCUGGGGCGGCCGCGGAGAACUAAAAAACCCCCGCGAGAAAUGGUGAUAUUUCACUUAAACCUAGAACAUCUCCUCUAAGCAACAGAACCUCUGAUCUUCUUUGACCCGGCCUAUUUUUAUAGCUGCCGAUCAACGGAACCAGUUACCCCAGGGAUAACAGCGCAAUCCUCUCCCAGAGCCCAUAUCGACAAGAGGGUUUACGACCUCGAUGUUGGAUCAGGACAUCCUAAUGGUGUAGCCGCUAUUAAGGGUUCGUUUGUUCAACGAUUAAAGUCCUACGUGAU